CCCUGGCUCAGAUUGAACGCUGGCGGCAUGCUUUACACAUGCAAGUCGAACGGCAGCGCGGGGGCAACCCUGGCGGCGAGUGGCGAACGGGUGAGUAAUAUAUCGGAACGUACCCAAGAGUGGGGGAUAACGUAGCGAAAGUUACGCUAAUACCGCAUACGAUCUAAGGAUGAAAGCAGGGGAUCUUCGGACCUUGUGCUCCUGGAGCGGCCGAUAUCUGAUUAGCUAGUUGGUGAGGUAAAGGCUCACCAAGGCAACGAUCAGUAGCUGGUCUGAGAGGACGACCAGCCACACUGGAACUGAGACACGGUCCAGACUCCUACGGGAGGCAGCAGUGGGGAAUUUUGGACAAUGGGGGCAACCCUGAUCCAGCAAUGCCGCGUGAGUGAAGAAGGCCUUCGGGUUGUAAAGCUCUUUUGUCAGGGAAGAAAAGGGAGUGGCUAAUAUCCAUUCCCUGCUGACGGUACCUGAAGAAUAAGCACCGGCUAACUA
rnacentral:rRNA from 1 species